AACGAACGCUGGCGGCAUGCCUAACACAUGCAAGUCGAACGAGACCUUCGGGUCUGGUGGCGCACGGGUGCGUAACGCGUGGGAACCUGCCUUUAGGUUCGGAAUAACUCAGAGAAAUUUGAGCUAAUACCGGAUAAUGUCUUCGGACCAAAGAUUUAUCGCCUUUAGAUGGGCCCGCGUAAGAUUAGCUAGUUGGUGGGGUAAAGGCCUACCAAGGCGACGAUCUUUAGCUGGUCUGAGAGGAUGAUCAGCCACACUGGGACUGAGACACGGCCCAGACUCCUACGGGAGGCAGCAGUGGGGAAUAUUGGACAAUGGGCGAAAGCCUGAUCCAGCAAUGCCGCGUGAGUGAUGAAGGCCUUAGGGUUGUAAAGCUCUUUUACCCGUAGAUGAUAAUGACAGUAUCGGGAGAAUAAGACUCCGGCUAACUCCGUGCCAGCAGCCGCGGUAAU
rnacentral:rRNA from 1 species